CAGCCGCCGCGGUAAUACGAAGGGGGCUAGCGUUGUUCGGAAUUACUGGGCGUAAAGCGCACGUAGGCGGAUAUUUAAGUCAGGGGUGAAAUCCCAGAGCUCAACUCUGGAACUGCCUUUGAUACUGGGUAUCUUGAGUAUGGAAGAGGUGAGUGGAAUUCCGAGUGUAGAGGUGAAAUUCGUAGAUAUCCGGAGGAACACCAGUGGCGAAGGCGGCUCACUGGUCCAUUACUGACGCUGAGGUGCGAAAGCGUGGGGAGCGAACAGGAUUAGAUACCCCAGUAGUCCCUGUCUCUUAUAC
rnacentral:rRNA from 1 species